UACGUAGGGUGCAAGCGUUAAUCGGAAUUACUGGGCGUAAAGCGUGCGCAGGCGGUUAUGUAAGUCAGAUGUGAAAUCCCCGGGCUCAACCUGGGAAUGGCAUUUGAGACUGCAUGGCUAGAGUGUGUCAGAGGGGGGUAGAAUUCCACGUGUAGCAGUGAAAUGCGUAGAUAUGUGGAGGAAUACCGAUGGCGAAGGCAGCCCCCUGGGAUAACACUGACGCUCAGGCACGAAAGCGUGGGGAGCAAACAGG
rnacentral:rRNA from 1 species